rnacentral:rRNA from 1 species
UACAGAGGUGGCAAGCGUUGUUCGGAAUUACUGGGCGUAAAGGGCGCGUAGGCGGUUCGUUAAGUCCUGUGUGAAAUCCCCCGGCUCAACUGGGGAACUGCACAGGAAACUAGCGGGCUUGAGUUCGGGAGAGGGAAGCGGAAUUCCGGGUGUAGCGGUGAAAUGCGUAGAUAUCCGGAGGAACACCGGUGGCGAAGGCGGCUUCCUGGACCGACACUGACGCUGAGGCGCGAAAGCUAGGGAGCAAACGGG